rnacentral:rRNA from 1 species
AGUGAACGCUGGCGGUAGGCCUAACACAUGCAAGUCGAACGGCAGCACAGUAAGAGCUUGCUCUUACGGGUGGCGAGUGGCGGACGGGUGAGGAAUACAUCGGAAUCUACUUUUUCUUGGGGGAUAACGUAGGGAAACUUACGCUAAUACCUCAUACGACCUACGGGUUAAAGCAGUGGAUCUUCGGACCUUGCGCGAUUGAAUUAGCCGAUGUCGGAUUAGCUAGUUGGCGGGGUAAAGGCCCACCAAGGCGACGAUCCGUAGCUGGUCUGAGAGGAUGAUCAGCCACACUGGAACUGAGACACGGUCCAGACUCCUACGGGAGGCAGCAGUGGGGAAUAUUGGACAAUGGGCGAAAGCCUGAUCCAGCCAUACCGCGUGGGUGAAGAAGGCCUUCGGGUUGUAAAGCCCUUUUGUUGGGAAAGAAAAGAAGCAGGUUAAUACCCCGAUGUUCUGACGGUACCCAAAGAAUAAGCACCGGCUAACUUCGUG